rnacentral:rRNA from 1 species
AGUGAACGCUGGCGGUAGGCCUAACACAUGCAAGUCGAACAGCAGCACAGGAGAGCUUGCUCUCUGGGUGGCGAGUGGCGGACGGGUGAGGAAUACAUCGGAAUCUACUCUGUCGUGGGGGAUAACGUAGGGAAACUUACGCUAAUACCGCAUACGACCUACGGGUGAAAGCAGGGGACCUUCGGGCCUUGCGCGAUUGAAUGAGCCGAUGUCGGAUUAGCUAGUUGGCGGGGUAAAGGCCCACCAAGGCGACGAUCCGUAGCUGGUCUGAGAGGAGGAUCAGCCACACUGGGACUGAGACACGGUCCAGACUCCUACGGGAGGCAGCAGUGGGGAAUAUUGGACAAUGGGCGCAAGCCUGAUCCAGCCAUACCGCGUGGGUGAAGAAGGCCUUCGGGUUGUAAAGCCCUUUUGUUGGGAAAGAAAUCUAGCUGGCUAAUACCCGGUUGGGAUGACGGUACCCAAAGAAUAAGCACCGGCUAACUUCGUGCCAGCCGCCGCAGUAA